rnacentral:rRNA from 1 species
AUUGAACGCUGGCGGAAUGCUUUACACAUGCAAGUCGAACGGCAGCACGGACUUCGGUCUGGUGGCGAGUGGCGAACGGGUGAGUAAUGUAUCCGAACGUGCCCAGUCGGGGGGGAUAACGUAGUGAAAACUAGGCUAAUACCGCAUACGAUCUAUGGAUGAAAGCGGGGGAUCGCAAGACCGCGCGCGAUUGGAGCGGCCGAUAUCAGAUUAGGUAGUUGGUGGGGUAAAGGCCCACCAAGCCAACGAUCGGUUGCUGGUCUGAGAGAACGACCAGCCACACUGGAACUGAGACACGGUCCAGACUCCUACGGGAGGCAGCAGUGGGGAAUUUUGGACAAUGGGCGAAAGCCUGAUCCAGCCAUUCCGCGUGCAGGAUGAAGGCCCUCGGGUUGUAAACUGCUUUUGUACAGAACGAAAAGGUUUCUACUAAUACUAGGAGCUCAUGACGGUACUGUAAGAAUAAGCACCGGCUAACUACGUGCCAGCAGCCGCAGUAA